GACGUCAUGUUCCCGCGAAAUUUGUCGCCGCGUUUUUCAAUUGUUUCAAAAUUUAAAGAGACAAAAGAAAUAUGGCGCACAUGGUUGCACAUGGUGUGAUGGUGGCAGCGUAGGUGAUUGAAUUUCCAGUUUUUUCUAGGUGUUUAGGUUUGUCAAUAACUUCUGCUGAUGAGAUGCAGUAACAGGAGGAGAAGCUAGAAAUUAAAAAGAGGAAGAAACUAUGCAUCAUCAGAGGGUGUAUUAACGAAAAUAGCAGGAUGUUCUCCUUCCCCUUAGAGAGAAAGGAUAAGAAGAGGAUGGCACAGUGGAUGGAAGUAUGUGACAACCCAAAGAAAUUCUGAGUGAUCUGUAGUAGCUACUUUAAAGAAAAAUACUUCAUGAGGAAAAGAUUAACAACAUCAGCAGUUCCAACACUGAACUUACUUGUGUCAGAGACUACCUCUAUUAAAAUAGAGCAACAAGACAC